UACGUAGGGUCCUAGCGUUGUCCGGAAUUAUUGGGCGUAAAGAGCUCGUAGGCGGCGUGUCGCGUCGGAUGUGAAAGCCCGGGGCUUAACUCCGGGUCUGCAUUCGGUACGGGCAUGCUGGAGUUCGGUAGGGGAGACUGGAAUUCCUGGUGUAGCGGUGAAAUGCGCAGAUAUCAGGAGGAACACCGGUGGCGAAGGCGGGUCUCUGGGCCGAUACUGACGCUGAGGAGCGAAAGCGUGGGGAGCGAACAGGAUUAGAAACCCCCGUAGUCC
rnacentral:rRNA from 1 species